UCACUUUCCAACAAGGAUAGUGUAUCAAGAAAUAUAUGAACAAUGCAGAAUCGAUAAUACAGUAAAAAGAUAAGUUAUCGAUAAUACAGUACAAAGAUAAGUUAUCGAUAAUACAGUAAAAAUAUAAAUUACAAUAAAAAAGUGGUUCUGCAUAUAAUAAAACAAAAUAAUUUAAAAUAAAUACAAACCUAGUUCUUUACACUUCAUUCAAUACAUUAUUACAAAACAUCUGAACUAAAUUCAUACAAAUAGGGAGGGUAUCCCAGACACUCUGGUUAUAUACACCCAGAUUCAACCUAGUAGUCUGGUUAUAUACACCCAGAUUCAACCUAGGAGUCUGGUUAUAUAAACCCAGAUUCAGUCUAGUAGUCUGGUUAUAUAAACCCAGAUUCAGUCUAGUAGUCUGGACACUCUGGUUAUAUAAACCCAGAUUCAGUCUAGUAGUCUGGUUAUUCUGGUUAUAUAAACCCAGAUUCAGUCUAGUAGUCUGGUCAUA
rnacentral:lncRNA from 13 species